AUGGAACAGAGGAGGGGAUGACUAAUGAGGUGGAGAGGCGUCCCAAAGCCAGGGGUGUUUGAACUGGGUGCAGGGAAGAACACACAAGGCCAAGGCUUCAAGGAUGGGCUGCCACAGAAGAGGCAGGACCCAGAGCUUUGGAUUUCUGAAGAUGCUCAGGAGAUGUGAUGAUGUCUUUCACUUUCCUGCCUCUGGCCUCCCGAACUUUGCCCAGGCUGCCCAUCCCCUAAAGGGAAUGUCCUAACGACUCAAUGAACAGGAAUUUGAGCAAACUCCAGGAGAUAGUGGAGGCAGAGGAGUGCUGCAGUCCAGAGUGUUGCAGUCCAUGGGGUCCCAAAGAGUCGGACUUGGCGACUGAACAACAAACCCUCAUCUUCCAAGACCCAACUCAGGGUACAUCUCCCCCAGAAUGUAGAACUUCCAGAGCAGAAGUUCGAGACCCCCUAAUCCCUAGAACCCGGGCUAUCAUUUCUGCUGAAUAAUUAAUCAUGUCAAGAAAAUCUUUCCUGAAUACUCCAAGAUAAACGCCCCACUCUGCGCUGUCCUCUAUGCCCCGCUGCACACCUUGUCCAUGCUUUGUUAUGAACUUCUUGAGGCAAGCAUCAUUUCUUUUUCUUCAGUGUCUAAUAAACUGUACCUACC